ensembl:lncRNA
CGCUUUGUAAAAUUAGGGGUUGUUUCUGACAUACCCUAUCUACUGCCAGGCCAACAAAAAUGGAAACGAAGCCAGGAAAGAGAAGGAGGCAUCAGGAGUGCCAUACAAACCCAAACCUCGCAUUAUUCAGCACCCACUGGUGAAAAGCGAGGAUAUUAACGAGAAGAUGGAAGUUACAACUGAGUCAGGCGGCUCUCCGUGUACAGAAAAUGCAAGUGAUUUAUCUGCAGGGCACAGUGCAGCUUUGGGCUCACGCAAAUGGUCCCCGCUGUCACAACUGCAGCAGGAACAUGCAUCUGAAGAUGCAGUUCUAAGGAACCUUCACUUGCCAACGACUAUCUCCCCACCUCAAACAGCGCUGUGGAUGGACAAAUGUUCUGUGUUCUUGUUUGCCAAAGCAGCUGGAAACAGAGUGGCAUUCUAUGGAAGUGAGGUAUUGGUAUAGUGGCAACAAAGAAAGUACAAUAAAG